GUCUCAAAGAUUAAGCCAUGCAUGUCUAAGUAUGAACCGCUUGAGUCGCAAGGCUCAAAACGGGUGAAACUGCGAAUGGCUCAUUAAAUCAGCAAUCGUUUACUUGAUUGUGUGCUAUUAUGGAGUUGGCUAGGGGGUUCGCCUUUUAGUCAAAGCUAUUAUGGCUGUAUGGAUAACCGUGGUAAUUCAAGAGCUAAUACAUUAACAAAAAAAAUAAGGUUGACUUUUCGCAAGAGAGGAAGAUCUGCAUUUAUUAGAUACAAUUGCAAAACCGAAACUCUUAGGAAGGAGGCUUGCUUUCUUUCUAGGGUUUUAAUAGUUGGUGAUUCAUGGUGACUGUGCGAAUCGCAUGACACUCAUUUUCGGAUGAGAUUUUGUCGGCGAUGGAUCAUUCAAAUUUCUGACCCAUCAAUUCUCGACGGUUGGAUAGAGGCCAACCAUGUUGACGACGGGUAACGGAGAAUUGGGGUUCGAUUCCGGAGAGGGAGCCUGGAGAAACGGCUCCCACUUCCAAGGAAGGCAGCAGGCGCGCAAAUUGCCCAAUCCUAAUACAGGGAGGCAGUGACAAGAAAUAACAAUGCAGGCCUCUUGAAAUAUAGAGACUGCAAUUGGAAUGAGAACAAUUUAAAACGCUUAACAAGGAACAAUUGGAGGGCAAGUCUGGUGCCAGCAGCCGCGGUAAUUCCAGCUCCAAUAGCGUAUGCUAAAAUUGCUGUAGUUGAAAAGCUCGUAGUUGGAUUUCGGAGUAAAAAGGAUGGGCUGGUGAGUUGCUUAAAAAACAAUCUACGCCACCUUUCUGUCGAGAUUUAAUACUUGGUUGAGGGAGAGUUUGCUGGUAAAACAGUGGAUAAACUUUUUCUUCUAAGGUCUCUUUACUCCUUUUUCUUGGCUGCUGUUUAUUUUUUAUCCUUUAGGGGAGAAGAGAGUAAAUACGGAGUCAAGAAGGUUUGGCUGGGUGCUCGUAAUUAUUCUUUACUGAAUAAUUAUUUUUCAGGCACCUUUAAGGGGGAGAGUCAAAUCUUUUUCUUUUAGUGCCUGGAUUUGUUUGAUAGAGAGUCUUUCUUUAUCAACAGAGCUCCAGUCCUUUUACCUUGAACAAAACAGAGUGUUCAAAGCAGGCUCAAACUCGGCCGUCAAAACGUCGAGGAACGCCUUGUAUGCUUCAGCAUGGGAUAAUGGAACAGGACCAGGUUGGGUCACGUGCAUAUUUCGUUUUGGUUUUCAGCCGUGAACAAAUUGAAUUUAACAGUUCACCCAACCGGUGAUGAUUGACAGGGAUUGUCGGGGACAUUGGUAUUUAAUUGUCAGAGGUGAAAUUCUUGGAUUAAUUAAAGACCAACUUCAGCGAAGGCAUUUGCCAAGGAUGUUUUCAUUUAAUCAAGAACGAAAGUUGGGGGAUCGAAGAUGAUCAGAUACCGUCGUAGUCCCAACCGUAAACGAUGCCGACCAGGGAUCGGGAAUGGAAGUAAACAAAAAGGUGAUAGCAGUCUUUAGGGGCUGUGUGUAACUGAAUCGUCCUUCCCGGCACCUUACAUAUAUUAUCUUUCCGGGAAACCACGAGUUUUUGGGUUCUGGGGGGAGUCUGGUCGCAAGGCUGAAACUUAAAGGAAUUGACGGAAGGGCACCACCAGGAGUGGAGCCUGCGGCUUAAUUUGACUCAACACGGGGAAACUCACCAGGUCCAGACUUGACGAGGAUUGACAGAUUGACAGCUCUUUCUUGAUUUCAAGGGUGGUGGUGCAUGGCCGUUCUUAGUUGGUGGAGCGAUCUGUCUGGUUAAUUCCGAUAACGAACGAGACCUCGGCCUACUGAAUAGUGAUGCCAAUUCUUCUUUCAACUUCAUAGAAAGAGGUGGCAUCGGAGGGGAGGAUUGAAGGCCCAAGUCGCAAGAUGGAAAGUUUUUGUCCUUUUUCUUUAUGUCAUCGCUUUUUGUAGAGUCAGGAUUUUUUGGUGGCUGAGGAGGAAACUCCUCGGUUAUCAGAUGCCUGGUUAUCUACCGAUGGUUGGAUUGUCGUAGUACACUUCUCAGAGGGACCACUUCGCGCUUUAAGCCAGCGAGUGGAAGAUCGAGGCAAUAACAGGUCUGUGAUGCCCUUCAGAUGUUCUGGGCCGCACGCGCGCUACACUGACGGAGACCAACGAGCGAUGGCGACAAUAAGCAAGGGGGAUUUUAUGCAACCUUUCGGGGUUGUAUGGAGACUUUCUCUUAUUGUCGGCGACCUAAGUCGAAACAGGCUUUGGGCAAUCUUGGUAAACUCUGUCGUGCUGGGGAUCGAUCCUUGUAACUGUGGGUCGUCAACGAGGAAUUCCUCGUAGGCGCGGUUCAUCAGACCGCGUCGAAUGCGUCCCUGCCCUUUGUACACACCGCCCGUCGCUCCUACCGAUUGAAUGGUCCGGUGAAGUCUUUGGAGCUGAACUUCGGUCUUUUUCCUUCUGGAAGAAGAUUAUUUGAAGUUCUCUUGUGGCGAAGUUGACUGAACCUUAUCAUUUAGAGGAAGGAGAAG
rnacentral:rRNA from 1 species